UGCCAGACUCCUACGGGAGGCAGCAGUGGGGAAUAUUGCACAAUGGGGGAAACCCUGAUGCAGCGACGCCGCGUGAGUGAAGAAGUCUUUCGGUAUGUAAAGCUCUAUCAGCAGGGAAGAAAAUGACGGUACCUGAUUAAGAAGCCCCGGCUAACUACGUGCCAGCAGCCGCGGUAAUACGUAGGGGGCAAGCGUUAUCCGGAUUUACUGGGUGUAAAGGGAGCGUAGGUGGCAGGGCAAGUCAGAUGUGAAAGCCCGGGGCUCAACCCCGGGAGUGCAUUUGAAACUGUCCAGCUGGAGUGCAGGAGAGGUAAGCGGAAUUCCUAGUGUAGCGGUGAAGUGCAUAGAUAUUAGGAGGAACACCAGUGGCGAAGGCGGCUUACUGGACUGUAACUGACACUGAGGCUCGAAAGCGUGGGGGGCAAACAGGAUUAGAUACCCCGGUAG
rnacentral:rRNA from 1 species